AGCGAACGCUGGCGGCAGGCUUAACACAUGCAAGUCGAGCGGCCGUAGCAAUACGGCAGCGGCAGACGGGAGAGUAACACGUAGGAACGUACCCUUCAGUACGGAACAACCAAGGGAAACUUUGGCUAAUACCGUAUACGUCCGUAAGGAGAAAGAUUUAUCGCUGAAGGAUCGGCCCGCGUCUGAUUAGCUAGUUGGUGAGGUAACGGCUCACCAAGGCGACGAUCAGUAGCUGGUCUGAGAGGAUGAUCAGCCGCACUGGGACUGAGACACGGCCCAGACUCCUACGGGAGGCAGCAGUGGGGAAUAUUGGACAAUGGGCGCAAGCCUGAUCCAGCCAUGCCGCGUGGAUGAUGAAGGCCCUAGGGUUGUAAAGUCCUUUUAACGGGGAAGAUAAUGACGGUACCCGUAGAAUAAGCCCCGGCUAACUUCGUGCCAGCAGCCGCCGUAA
rnacentral:rRNA from 1 species